rnacentral:rRNA from 1 species
AUACAGAGGGUGCGAGCGUUAAUCGGAAUUACUGGGCGUAAAGCGCGCGUAGGCGGCUUGGUCAGUCGGAUGUGAAAGCCCUGGGCUCAACCUGGGAAUUGCAUUCGAUACUGCCAAGCUAGAGUAUGGGAGAGGGAAGUGGAAUUUCCGGUGUAGCGGUGAAAUGCGUAGAUAUCGGAAAGAACACCAGUGGCGAAGGCGACUUCCUGGCCCAAUACUGACGCUGAGGUGCGAAAGCGUGGGGAGCGAACAGGAUUAGAUACCCCAGUAGUCC